rnacentral:rRNA from 1 species
CCUACGGGUGGCAGCAGUGGGGAAUAUUGCACAAUGGGCGAAAGCCUGAUGCAGCAACGCCGCGUGAAGGACGAAGGGUUUCGGCUCUGAAACUUCUAUCAGCAGAGACAAAAGAAAUGGCGGUACCUGCAUACGAAGCCCCGGCUAACUACGUGCCAGCAGCCGCGGUAAUACGUAGGGGGCGAGCGUUAUCAGGAAUUACUGGGUGUAAAGGGUUAGUAGGCGGCAUGGUAAGCCAGAUGUGAAAGCCUUGGGCUUAACCCGAGGAUUGCAUUUGGAACUAUCAAGCUAGAGUACAGGAGAGGAAAGCGGAAUUCGUAGUGUAGCGGUGAAAUGCGUAGAUAUUAGGAAGAACACCAGUGGCGAAGGCGGCUUUCUGGACUGAAACUGACGCUGAGGCACGAAAGCGUGGGGAGCGAACAGGAUUAGAUACCCUAGUAGUC